rnacentral:rRNA from 1 species
CGUGAGCAACCUACCGAACUGUGGGGGGAGUAGCCGGCCUAACGGCCGAGUAAUACCGCAUACGCUUUCAUUGAGGCAUUUCAGUGAAAGGAAACCUACGGGACAGAUCGAGGGGCUCGCGGCCUAUCAGCUAGUUGGCGAGGUAACGGCUCACCAAGGCAACGACGGGUAGCUGGUCUGAGAGGAUGGCCAGCCACAUUGGGACUGAGAUAUGGCCCAG